rnacentral:rRNA from 1 species
AGAUUGAACGCUAGCGGGAUGCUUUACACAUGCAAGUCGAACGGCAGCGCGGACUUCGGUCUGGCGGCGAGUGGCGAACGGGUGAGUAAUAUAUCGGAACGUGCCCAGUAGCGGGGGAUAACUACGCGAAAGCGUGGCUAAUACCGCAUACGCCCUACGGGGGAAAGGGGGGGAUUCUUCGGAACCUCUCACUAUUGGAGCGGCCGAUAUCAGAUUAGCUGGUUGGUGAGGUAAAGGCUCACCAAGGCGACGAUCUGUAGCUGGUUUGAGAGGACGACCAGCCACACUGGGACUGAGACACGGCCCAGACUCCUACGGGAGCAGCAGUGGGAAUUUGGACAAGUGGGGAAACCUGAUCCAGCCAUCCCGCGUGUGCGAUGAAGGUCCGUUCGGGUUGUAAAGUCACGUUUUGGACGUAGGGAAGAAACGGACCGUACCCCGUAAGUACGGGCGUCCGACUGACGGUACCUGC